CGUCAGAGCGACGUGUCGGACAUUUGACUUAUUGUGUUUUCAGUUCAUCAAAGUUGCUCCAACAUGUUGUUUACCUGAAAAUGUCUUGUUCGGUGCUCAAUUGUUCUCAAAGACUCAGAGGAGUCGGCGGUUCAAUUUUUCCCGGAUCUCCUGGAGGAGUGGAGGCUCCACUGUUGGAGGAGGACACAUGGGGCAGAGGAGACGCUCCUCCUCAUCCAGGAUCUCCACGUCACCCUGGACGUCUCUUACCUGGAUUCUCUCUGCAUCCAGGACACAUGGAGACACAGAGGAGCCUCACCUGCAUUCAGGACCCAGCAGGUGCAGCUGUACAGAGACAGGUAGACUGACAGAGGGCGGGGUCAGCCUCCUGGUUUCCACCUUCACCACUUCAUCACAGAACCUUUUUCCUCAAGCCAGUGCCAAGUACUUCCAAGCUCCUGGCAACACCUGCCAGACAGAGCAGGAGGAAGAGCGAGUUCUUCCCUCCCAGAGACCAGGAGAGGCAGCGACGGGGAAGAACACCUCCUGUCCUGGGAAGGAGAGUCUCCACUGUCCUCAGUGUUCACAGAUUCACUUUCUUGCCUUUUGCUUCAUUUCUACUGUUGUUGAUUAAUGACAGUAACAACAUGUGAAGAGCAGAAUGUGUUCAGCUCCAGCUCAGUCACCUCCUUCACAGGUGAAAGUAUCGACCAGUUUAACAUGAAACGGUGUUCAGCAGGAAACAGAUGGAACUGACCCACCAGAACUGCAACCUGGAGCAGAACCAGACUCUUCAUAGAUGUGAUGCUGUGACCUCAGAGACGGAUGUGUGACCUCACACACUCUUUAGUGUGAACUGAACACUGACAGUUCAGGUUGUGAAGCAGGUGUCAGUGUAGUACAGCUCAUGUUCAUUAGUUUUAUUCACAGCUUCAUUGUUGUCAUUGAAAAGGUGUUUAAUAAAUAAACCUGUGAUUAAAUUGUAUUGAGUGUUUGUUCAUAUUUACCAUCUGCCUCAUGAUGAAUCUAACAGUCACUUUGGUGAAUUAGUGUUUUCAUUGUUAUUAAAAUUGGUAAGUUCAUAAGAGAAAUUAGAAAAGCACAAACUCUAGUAUCUGUCUCUAGAUCCUGUGUUGUCUCUGUUGAAGGACGGACACAUUUAAACAUUUCUAUCAUGUUUGUUGUUGAUUAAAGCAACAUAGAAAGUCUUUGAUUA